rnacentral:rRNA from 1 species
AUGAACGUUGGCGGUGUGCCUAAUACAUGCAAGUCGAACGAAGAUGAUAGCAAUAUUGUCUUAGUGGCGAACGGGUGAGUAACGCGUUGGUGACCUGCCCCGAAGUGGGGGAUAACAGUUCGAAAGGACUGCUAAUACCUCAUGAUAUCAAUUGGGUUAGAUACCUUUUGAUCAAAGGCGUAAGCCGCUUUGGGAGGGGCCUGCGUCCCAUCAGCUUGUUGGUAGGGUAAUGGCCUACCAAGGCUAAGACGGGUAGGGGACCUAAGAGGGUGACCCCCCACACUGGCACUGAAACACGGGCCAGACACCUACGGGUGGCAGCAGUAGGGAAUUUUGGACAAUGGGCGAAAGCCUGAUCCAGCAACGCCGCGUGCGCGAUGACGGCCUUCGGGUUGUAAAGCGCUUUUAGAGGAGAUGAGAAAGGACAGUAUCCUCUGAAUAAGCCUCGGCGAACUACGU